rnacentral:snoRNA from 1 species
AGCCUCUUACUGCUUACCGCAGGCUGUGUGUUCUUAUACUGACUGUAUCGAAAGAGGAGGCAAAGUAAACCUAACCCCAAGAACACCCCAAGAACACCCCAGCCUGAGCCACUGUGCCUGGUCUGUACUGUGAAUGGGGAGAUAUGG